rnacentral:lncRNA from 1 species
UCCGUGGCUGUCCAUCAGUGCACAUAUCAGCACGCUGGUCCUUGGACUCAGCACGCUGGCCCUUCCCGUGGACUGUUCGGGUGAUUUUGGCCCACGUGGGCUGUCUGCUCAGUACACACAGGACGUCCGUGGGUGUCCGUCAGAACACACAUGACGUCCGUGGGUGUCUGUCAGCACACACAAGACGUCCUUGGCUGUCCGUGUGUGUCCGUGUGUGUCCGUCAGCACACACAAGACGUCUGUGGCUGUCCAUCAGUACACAUAUCAGGACGUUACUCCUUGGACUCAGCACGGUGACCCGUCCCGUGGACUGUUUGGGUGAUUUUGGCCCACGUGGGCUGUCUGUUAAGUACACACAGGACGUAUGUGGGUGACCGUCAGCACACAUAGGACGUCCGUGUGUGUCCGUCAGCACACACAGGACGUCCGUGGGUGUCCGUCAGCACACACAAGACUUAUGUGGCUGUCCGUGUGUGUCCGUCAACACACACAGGACGUCUGUGGCUGUCCAUCAGUACACAUAUCUGCAUGUUGGUCCUUGGACUCAGCACGCUGACCCUUCCUGUGGACUGUUCGGGUGAUUUUGGCCCACGUGGGCUGUCUGUUCAGUACACGCAGGACGUCCGUGGGUGUCCGCCAGCACACACAGGACGUCAGUGGCUGUCUGUUUGUGUCCGUGUGUGUCCGUCUGUGUCCGUCAGCACACACAGGACGUCCGUGGCUGUCCAUCAGUACACAUAUCAGCAUGUUGGUACUUGGACUCAUCACGCUGGCCCUUGCCGUGGACUGUUUGGCUGAUUUUGGCCCACGUGGGCUGUCAGUUCAGUACACACAGGACGUUUGUGGGUGUCCGUCAGCACACACAAGACGUCUGUGGCUGUACGUGUGUGUCCGUCAGAACACACAUGACGUCCAUGGCUGUCCGUGUGUGUCCGUCAGCACACACAGGACGUCCGUGGCUGUCUGUCAGUACAUAUAUCAGCACGUUGGUCUUUGGACUCAGCACGCUGACCCUUCCCGUGGACUGUUCGGAUUAUUUUGGCCCACUUGGGCUGUCUGUUCAGUACACACAGGACGUCCGUUGGUGUCCGCCAGCACACACAGGACGUCUGUGGCUGUACGUGUGUGUCUGUGCGUGAAAGACCCGUUUCUGGUCUCUCGACCCAACUGGAUACGAAUGCUUAGUUAUUAAUUUCUUUGCUUGUAUGCUUCAUUCUAAGUCUUUUCUUUACUAAGUCAUAUUCAAAUAUGAGGUUCAUAAACAAAGGAAUAGAUUGCACAGCGGAAUAACAAUGUAUAAACUUUGUAUUACUUAGAAACAUGAGAUUCAAUACACAACUUCUUAACAGUCUCAUAGACAAUCACUAGUUCAUCCCUAGCAUCAUAUAACCACAUGUUACACAGCCUCUCACUAACCGAGCCUUCACGGCUCCUUGGCUUGACCAGAACCAUCCUUAGUUCCUGAAACCACAACCAGAUAAGCAUUAAUCAUAACCGAGAAUAGAACGGAUUGAUUCUACAAUGCUUGGCUUGGUUCCUAGAACUUAGAUAAACCUCAGUCAACACAAUCAUAAACAGUAUGAACCUACCUACCGUAUCCUAAGUCAUUCAACCAACCACCCCUUGACUUAGAAUCAGAUAGAUAGUCCAGAAUAGAUAAACAAAACACACGAACAGAUCCGGAUCGUCCCCAAAGACCAACCGUCUAACCGGAUAGAAUCUAGGUGCGACCGGCCAAUGAAGUCCGGCUCAAUGGCCCAACGGACUUCCUUACCUGAUCCGGCCUUAGGCCUGGAUCCAAUCAGCCGAGUAUGCCUCAAGCCUAAUCCGGAAGGCUUAGCAACCGGUCAGACCUUGCGACUCUACCUUGGCUUAGACAAACCGUGACCUUGUCUUGACUAGACAAGCCAUAGGCUGAUCCAUAAGGAUCGGUCCUAACCUGUCCCGAAAGACACCGUUUGGAACAUGUACCCUUUGGCCAUUCGUGCCUCCUGGACACUCAUGACUCUUGACAACUCGUGCCUUUUGGGUCAUUCCCAACCGUUCGUCCUAACCGCCCAGUCUUGGUGUGAUCGGAUCAUCCCACUAACCGACCCGUGUCUAGGCUAGCGGUUUGGUUAUGUUCAGCUAAAGCCUAGGGACGUGUCCCUUGGACUCAACCAACACAGCCUUUCGUGUUUAACCAGAGAGAAGAGAAGAGAAACGAAUUGAAACAGAUAAGGAGAGCCGGAUGGGACUUAGGAACCGAGCAGAGCCGCGGUGCGGUCGCAUGGACCGUCCAUUCGGUCUGAUGGAGCCACGGCCCAUCACAUACCUUGUGAACCACGUCUGGGUUCUCCAUGCUCUUCUCGUUGUCUUGAUCUCCCAUUCUUGACCGGAGUUAGUUCUCAAACGAUCAGAGUCGCCGGACCACAACACCACCACAAUCGGCCUUUCUCUUGGCCAGAACUCUCUCUUUCUCUCUUUCUUUCUCUCUACGUUUUUCUCUGAGUAUUUUACUCUGGAAUUGGAUAAUGAAAUCGACCAGAGAGCCCCCAUAUUUAUAGAAAACAAGGGGGUACUUGCCCCACGAACAGGCAUGACUUGCUAGCGAAUGGGCACCAUCGGCCAAGGGUUGUCCCCUUUCGGCCACUUGCAUCCCUUCGCCCAUUCUGAUUGGGUUUGGGGUCGGCCACAAGCCCAACCCACGCCCCAAGCCUCCUGGGCAUAGCCGACGGCCAUUUCCAAAGACCCAACAGCCCAUGGCCUCAUGGCCGGACCUCACAGCCCGCCACUGACCCGGACCCGGACCAUCGGCCUAAAGCCCGGACAGUCCGUCUAGCUGAGAUGAGCUGACUCUCAGCUGCCUCAGCUGAGUGAGCUAGUAGUCCAGCUAGUGGAGCUGACUUAGUAGGGACUGAGCUGGAGUGAACUGAACCUAGCUUCAUUGAGCUGGCUGAGGUACUCGUCCACUUCGUCCAGUUACCGUCUUACUCGUCCUAGCUGUCUCUUAGCUUGUAUAAGGUUAAGUCUAAGUUUCCUUAUGUCCUUAACCUUCUUUCUCGACCAUGGAACGCUUGCCUUGAUGUCCUAAGACUGGCUUGCACGUUUCCUCGAACCAUGGCCGUCCCGACAAUCCUAUUCAGGAUUGGGGGCGUGACAAGUAUCCCCCCCUUGGGAUGGAUUCUUCCUCGAAUCCGAAUCAAAUGCUUCCUCGGAAACAAACUGAUCCAACCACUCUGGGUACUCUGCUUUCAUUCUAGCUUUGGUUUCCCAAGUGAUUAUAUCCUGACCAUUACAGUCCCAGACGACCUUGACCAUCUGGACCGUCUUCUUCCUUGUUGCUUUUUCCAUCCUAUCUAUGAUUCGAACUGGCCUCGUUUCCAAGGUUAGGUUCUUAGCAAGAUCGUCUGGAACGGCAGGAAGAGCGAUGUCUUGGUCCGUCAGACAUUUCCGAAGUUGGGAGACGUGGAACACAUUAUGAAAUGCGUCCAUCUUGGCCGGCAUGUAGAAACCCGUUAAUAAAAAAAAAAAAAAAAAAAAAAGGAAAAGGAGAGAUUAUGGUCGAGUACCUUUGUGGUGGUCGAGUCGCGGGCGAUCGAGAAGUUUUGAAGUAUGAAGUGGGCGAAGAAGUGAUCGUGAGUUAACUAUGAGUCGAAUAAGUUGCUCGACCAUAGUUAGAAGAUGUCUUAGAUUGAUGGGACGGAAGUUUUCGAAGCAUAACAUUUUUGGAAGCACGACGGUUUAGAAGCUCGACGUUUUGGAAGAAUGACGUUUCUUCAGCACGAAGUUUUCCGCAAAACUUCGUAUCAGCGGAAUAAUAUUUCGAAGACAUUGGAAACCUGAUGAGAAUUAAGCACGACGGGAAGCAAGCACGACGGAAUCAAAGCACGACGGGAAACCCCAAAAUUGGACGAAAACCCUAAUUUAGUUAUUAUGAAAUUUUUCGAGGAAGCCGGAGGCUCAGGACAUAUUUUCCCUCAACUUCAGAGAUCAAGUGGACUUUAUUAAAAUUGUUCUGAGCAUCAGAAAGGGUGUAGAAAAAUAUUUGGGAUUGAUCGCGGGACGAAAAUUCACCGGAAUGGUCGAAAUCAGGCGAAUGGACCGAGAAGCUCGAGGUGGCUUGUUGCAUGGGUUCAGAACGUGGUGUCAACCAUCUAACAAGCUCAGUGUCUACAGAAGCUCGAGGUGUCGCCGUGCGUGGAAGCUGCACAUGCAGCUUGACAUGUAGAAGCACGAGGUGGAUCGGCCAAGCACGAGAUGUCGCGACGCAUGCAACUGAAGCAUGCUGAUCGACAUGUGUGAGGAUGUGUGGCGGCUUGCAUGAGCUCCAGUCAUGCAGCCUGACAUCUGGGAGGAGUGGUGGCGUCCUGCAUGUGUCCUAGACAUGCAGCCAGCCAUGUGGAGCACGAGGUGGAUCGGCCAAGCACGAGAUGUCGCGUUGCAUGCAACCGAAGCAUGCUGAUCGACAUGUGUGAGGAUGUGUGGCGCCUUGCAUGAGCUCCAGUCAUGCAGCCUGACAUCUGGGAGGAGUGGUGGCGUCCUGCAUGUGUCCUGGACAUGCAGCCAGCCAUGUGGAGCACGAGGUGCCGCCGUGCAUGCGUCCGGAGCCAUGCGGAG